rnacentral:rRNA from 1 species
GACGAACGCUGGCGGCGUGCUUAACACAUGCAAGUCGAACGGUGAGGCCCUGCUCUUGUUGGUUGUGCGAGUGGCGAACGGGGGAGUAACACGCGAAUAACCUGUCCUUGACUGUGGGAGAACAUCAGUGAACUCGAUCGAAUAUCGCACAGGACCUUCUGCGGCAUGUGGGGGGUAGGUGAGUUGCGGCGGUUGGGGAUGGAAUGGCGGCCCUGCAGCGUGUUGGUGGGGUAGUGGCUUACCAAGGCUUUUACGGGUAGCCGGCCUGAGAGGGUGACCGGCCCCAUUGGGACUGAGAUGCGGGCCAGACUGCUGCGGGAGGAAGCAGUGGGGACUAUUCCGCGCUGGGCGGAAGGCGGAUGGAGCGUCGCCGGGUGGGGGAUGACGGUCUUCGGGUAGUAACGCGCUUUAGCCUGUAACGAAGCCUGAGUGACGGUAGUGGGUAAAGAAGCACCGGCUAACUACGUG